GGGCGCAUAGCUCAGUUGGUAGAGCAGAUGACUCUUAAUCAUCGGGUCCCAGGUUCGAACCCUGGUGCGCCCACCA
rnacentral:tRNA from 1 species